rnacentral:sRNA from 1 species
AAGUCGUAACAAGGUUUCCGUAGGUGAACCUGCGGAAGGAUCAUUAAAGAAUCGCCCCGUUUUUCGAAAUGGGUUCUAUUCCUAAACCGUGUAUACAUACCUUUGUUGCUUUGGCGGGCCGCCUUUUAGGCGUCGGCUUCGGCUGACUGCGCCUGCCAGAGGACCCAAACUCGUUUGUUUAGUGAUGUCUGAGUACUAUAUAAUAGUUAAAACUUUCAACAACGGAUCUCUUGGUUCUGGCAUCGAUGAAGAACGCAGCGAAAUGCGAUAAGUAAUGUGAAUUGCAGAAUUCAGUGAAUCAUCGAAUCUUUGAACGCACAUUGCGCCCCUUGGUAUUCCGAGGGGCAUGCCUGUUCGAGCGUCAUUAUAACCACUCAAGCCUCGGCUUGGUCUUGGGGUUCCGCGGUCUCUCGCGGCCCUUAAAAUCAGUGGCGGUGCCAUCUGGCUCUAAGCGUAGUAAUUUUCUCGCUAUAGGGUCCCGGUGGUCUCCUGCCAAAACCCCCCCAUUUUUUACGGUUGACCUCGGAUCAGGUAGGGAUACCCGCUGAACUUA